ACACGACUACAUUAGAUACCCGCGUAGUCCUAGCCGUAAACGAUACUCGCUAGGUGUCGGCCACGGUGCGACCGUUGUCGGUGCCGUAGGGAAGCCGUGAAGCGAGCCACCUGGGAAGUACGGCCGCAAGGCUGAAACUUAAAGGAAUUGGCGGGGGAGCGCAACAACGGGUGGAGCUUGCGGUUUAAUUGGAUUCAACGCCGGAAAUCUUACCGGGACCGACAGCAACAUGAAGGCCAAGCUGAAGACUUUGCCGGAUUAGCUG
rnacentral:rRNA from 1 species